UACGGAGGGGGCUAGCGUUGUUCGGAAUUACUGGGCGUAAAGCGCACGUAGGCGGCUUUGCAAGUUAGAGGUGAAAGCCCGGGGCUCAACUCCGGAAUUGCCUUUAAAACUGCAUCGCUAGAAUUGUGGAGAGGUAAGUGGAAUUCCGAGUGUAGAGGUGAAAUUCGUAGAUAUUCGGAAGAACACCAGUGGCGAAGGCGGCUUCCUGGACCGACACUGACGCUGAGGCGCGAAAGCUAGGGGAGCAAACAGG
rnacentral:rRNA from 1 species